rnacentral:rRNA from 1 species
UACGUAGGGUGCAAGCGUUUAAUCGGAAUUACUGGGCGUAAAGCGUGCGCAGGCGGUGAUGUAAGACAGAUGUGAAAUCCCCGGGCUCAACCUGGGAACUGCAUUUGUGACUGCAUCGCUGGAGUGCGGCAGAGGGGGAUGGAAUUCCGCGUGUAGCAGUGAAAUGCGUAGAUAUGCGGAGGAACACCGAUGGCGAAGGCAAUCCCCUGGGCCUGCACUGACGCUCAUGCACGAAGCGUGGGAGCAACAGG